rnacentral:sRNA from 1 species
GUUAUGUCUAGGCUGAUCCCCGAAAACCAGUACACCUCUACUGGCUGGCAUAGCUCCUAACUAAUAGAGG